UUAAGCCAUGUUUUCCCUCCCAACACAUGCAAACAUAUUACUUUUCCAGUCAAGUCAUUCUAAAGAUCCCUUUCAAAAUAUCACAAGAAAACUACAUCAUUACCCUAACCCAAGCCUAUAUUUUUCAACAGUUCAGGUGACCCCGAAUUCUCCCAAGAGUGCAAAUGUCAUUUCUCCGGAACAAAGACAAGUAAGAUAUGCAUCCAGUUACCAACACUGUAAUGCAUAUUCGAAUGAUAAUUAUGAAGAUUUUGGUGUCCUGGGCUCCCCAGUUAUCAUAUCAGGAAGACAUUACUGAGAGGUAGACGUGUCAAAGAAACGUGCCUAAAUGUAAAGAUAUCAUGAAGUUCCUAUAUGACUGUGAAAAUUAUGGAAAUAGAAAUUGUCAAAAAGGUUAUUCAAGAUAUCAACCUGAAAAUGGCUUUUGGGUCAUAGUGUUAAAACAGGAUUCUGUAUAUAAUGCCUUUGAGCCUUCCUUCUUAGGUUCUGGGAUUUUAACCCUCUCCCUGGGUGUUUCUCCGCAUUGUGUUGGGGUUUUCCUGGACUAUGAGGCUCGCACUGUCUUAUUUCUCAUUGUCACCAACCAUGGGUUUCCCAUUUAUAAAUUUUCUUCAUCUUCCUUUCCUCAGAAAAUAGUUCCAUAUUUCAAUCCUAUGAACUGUGAUGCCCCCAUGACUGUGUGAUCACCAAGCUGUUGAGUCUUCUUACACUCACACUCACUCCUCUAUAGUGCCUCUUACUGUAGGUGCGUCUAACACACCUGUGCUUAUCUGCAACAUUCUUACCCAUUUUCCUUGCUGCCUUUCUUUUUUUUCCAUUUGAAUAUCCUUCAUUCAUUAGGAGGGUGAACAAUUUCCCUUGUGUCAUAUUUUCCCCAAUAUCAUGUAUGUGUUAGAAAAUCUUAAUUAAUUUUCCGUACUCCAUGGUAAAAUGAUGGAUGCCCCAUAAAGAGCAGUAUUGAUGUAACACCUUUGCCAAACUUUACAAUCUCAUUUACUCUGCCACUGACUGAGAAAAUGAAAGAAAGCUUUUCAACAAUGUAUAUUAGACUUAGUGUAGGAGUCCUUCACUAAAGAGUGAGUGCUGAGCUGUGUCUCAGUUCAUCCAUAUGCCAAUAUUCAGUAAGAAAUUGAGGAAAAAAUAUCAUAAAUGAUAUGUACUAAGAAUGAGUUUUGUGUUCAGAGGGUCUAAGUUCAAGCCCUGUCUCUACAUAUUAGAAGUGUAAACUUGAAUAGCAUAUUUAAGUGAUGUUUAUUUUCUUAAAAUAAUCUUGUUAUAAAAUUGUACCAUACAUAAGAUCAUUGUGAAAAAAUAAAUGCAACUAAGUGUAAAGCA